rnacentral:rRNA from 1 species
AACGAACGCUGGCGGCAUGCCUAACACAUGCAAGUCGAACGAGACCUUCGGGUCUAGUGGCGCACGGGUGCGUAACGCGUGGGAACCUGCCCUUAGGUUCGGAAUAACUCCCCGAAAGGGGUGCUAAUACCGGAUAAUGUCUUCGGACCAAAGAUUUAUCGCCUUUGGAUGGGCCCGCGUCGGAUUAGCUAGUUGGUAGGGUAAAAGCCUACCAAGGCGACGAUCCAUAGCUGGUCUGAGAGGAUGAUCAGCCACACUGGGACUGAGACACGGCCCAGACUCCUACGGGAGGGAGCAGUGGGGAAUAUUGGACAAUGGGCGAAGGCAUGAUCCAGCAAUGCCGCGUGAGUGAUGAAGGCCGUAGGGUUGUAAAGCUCUUUUACCCGGGAUGAUAAUGACAGUACCGGGAGAAUAAGCUCCGGCUAACUCCGUG